GCAAAGGAGACUUCAGCAGCUGUCGUCCAUUUUGCUCGGCAGAACAAGCUCGUCCAUGAAAUUGUUUUCGUGCAAUGCCGACAGUCGAUUUUCUUCAUUUGGUAGCGUUGCUCUUAGCUUGCCUCCAGUAUGCUUAUGUGCAUGCUAUAUAUUUUUUUGUCCAAUUAGAUUGAAGCCUACAUGUGUUGCUACGUCAAUCUAAUCUGCACUGGGUCUUCGCAAUCACAUGUGCUGGCCGAUAGAACUUCCAAAACUUUUACGAAUUCACAAUUCCUAAUCCUGUUUUGAAACCCUAACCCUGUUUUGCUACUCUAAUUUGAAACCCUAACCAUGUUUGAAACCCUACUUUGAAAGCCUAACCAGACUUUGAAACCCUAAACAUGUUUGAAACCCUACUUUGAAAGCCUAACCAGACUUUAAAACCCUAACCCCGUUUGAAACCCUACUUUGAAAUUCUUACCCCAUUUUGUAGCGAUCUGCACACAUUAAUACAUUUAAUAAACAACUUCUCUGAUGCAGUGCAGUUAGCCUUGUCGCAAACAACCAGCUUGCACAUCAACGACUCGCGUGUGAGCAAACAAGACGGACGAUAGCAGUUAGCCUCGUUGCUUGAUCCUGAUGCUAAGGAAGAAGCCAGAGUACCCGAAGAAAAGCCACAUAAGCACAACGAGAACACGCAAACUGCACAUAGCAAGACCCGGAUUCGAACCCUUGACCUCAGAACGCUCUCUAUCCAUCCAUCCAUCUAUGCUGAUGAGAAAGAUGAUGUCGAUGUGCUACGGGGGGUUGCCAUGGAGCAGGAGAGCGAGGCCCCGCGAGGCCCGCGUGCGCUCGCCUGCUAAUGAGAGGCUGCGGGAACACAGAACGCCAUUGGCUGACGUGGAAAGAUUAGCGGACCCCACACCCACAAUGCCCACACACACACAAAUCCGACAGACCGCCAAAACAUGAGGCUGCCGGGCUCGACUCGGCUCUUAAUUCUGACUCAGGUUGCUCCACUUUGCAUCACUUUGGCUCACAAGGAAAAAAAACAACAACACAUUUUACAAGGAAAAAGUUGUUUUUUAUUUUAAUUGUUUGUGUUUUUUGAAGAAAAUUUACCUUAUUUUUUAACAAUUUCUUAAGACAUGGUUAUAUAUAUUUUUAGAUAAUUUUAUUUUCUAGCAACAAAAAAAAAUCUCAUGGUAAAUGGCCUGGGUUUUAGUAAAUAUUCUUUCCCAUAUUUUUUUCCCUCCAUUUAAAAAUGUUUUUUUCACAUAUUUGUGCAGGAAAAUAAGCAUUUUUUUUAAUUUAAAAAAAUGUUUUUGUGUGUGUUAGAAAAGAAAGUCACAAUGAUGGCCUGGUUCCAAAUGAGUCUUAAGGUUUCAUUGUCUACAUGAAGAGAAAACAAGUGGAGAUGGAAUGCAGUGCAAUUUUAGCACCAUGUUUUUAAUUGCAAUGGCGUUGCCCCCUUUGGGCUCUAAUUCAAUUGUUUUUUUAUCUAACAAUUAACCAAGUGUAAUUGCAGGCAGAUAGCGCGGACGCGCCUCAAUCCUGGCGGGGGGGAAAUAAACGCCGCCAGCUGCGGCGGCGCUUGCGGAGGCGGCGCGGAGGGAACCGUGAGUGCCGCGAGGUUGACACGAGCUUUCAUGGUGGCACUCAAGCCCUCAUAAUCUACUCAUCUCAUCAGUUGAGCUCGAGUUAAGAACAAGAAAAGACUUGUAACUUUGAGAACAAGUGAGGAUGUAACUCUUGGGCUCAGGAAAAUAAGGAAUAGGGAUACUAUUGUUCUUUAAGAAAAAGUAUUUUCAAGAAAAUUGUGUGUUUUGAUCCUCCAAAUUUUUCAUUUCACUAAAAUAAAAUCUUGGCUUUUUUUAGAAAAACAAAUAAAAAAUUGUCAGCGCCAACAAUUUUUUUAAGACAACACCAUAGAAAAAUGUAAAAAAUGUAUGCUUUAUGCACCCAAAUUGAGCAAACAUUUAUUUUUGGGUGGAAAUAAAAGUAAUGUUUUAGGAGAAAAAAAAGUUAGAAAAAGCUUUUUACAAAAUUGGAAAAAAGUACAAUUAGUUCUUUUCAAGCCCCUUUUUUUUUUUUUUUUUUUUUUU